GUAUAUCUUUGUGGUUCUCAGGAACACUUUCUGAGAAGCUAAACAUGAAAGAGUAUCUAGAAUCUGCAAUAGGUGAGAUCUUUUAUGAUGCUAAAGAAAAUUUCUCAAGGAUUAUUUCUAUUGAUGAUGAGGAUAAUAUCUGCAAUGAUAGUCUGGGAGGAGAGGAUAUUUCUUUAUGCUGCCUGGGUGGCAGUUCUAGUGUAAAUCAUGGGACCAUGGAAGAUAGAGCAAGUGAUCCACACACUCCUCCUCCCACAGGGC
rnacentral:misc_RNA from 1 species